rnacentral:piRNA from 1 species
GUGUGAUGGGCCUACCAAAGU